rnacentral:rRNA from 1 species
UCCGUAGGCGGAUUGAUAAGUCAGAGGUGAAAUCUCACAGCUUAACUGUGGAACUGCCUUUGAAACUGUUAGUCUUGAGUUAUAUGGAAGUAGAUAGAAUGUGUAGUGUAGCGGUGAAAUGCAUAGAGAUUACACAGAAUACCGAUUGCGAAGGCAGUCUACUACGUAUAUACUGACGCUAAUGGACGAAAGCGUGGGGAGCGAACAGGAUUAGAUACCCUGGUAGUCC